GUGGUGAUGGUUACACAACUCUAUGAAUAUACUAAAAACCAUUGAGUCAUACAUUUUAAAUGUGUGAAUUGUAUACAAUGUGGAUUUUAUCUCAAUAAAGAGGCUAUUUUUAAAUGCACAGGCAACACUGAGCUGGGUGUGUACUUGAAUUUGUUCCAGUGAAGGAGACAAACCACCUUCUGUCACUAAAGGAGAAGAGUCUAGGCUCUUAUCCUGUCUACCCUUACUGUAUACACAGUUUCUAUUUGGGGCCUUUUUAUAGUUGUAUUACAGUUAGUGAGCAACAGUUAAGUCAAAAACCACAAAGGCCUUGGUUACAGCUUACCCUUGUUUUUGAUCAACAAUAACAUGACUGAUGUCACUAUGGCUCAACUCAACCACAAACAUGGAUUCAGGAAGUUCUGGAGAUGUGCUGGGGGCUAGUGGAGAUGAACAGCUGGAGAUUCGGCUCCUUGGAGAGACAGUGGUUGGCUAGACCUGAGCUCCAGAGGAAGGAGGGACACUUGGAACAAAAAGGAAAUAUUGCUCUGAUCUCACCAAAAGGAGACUGAAACACCGCCAACCAGGGACAGGAGCUUCCUGAGUAGGAGCUGAGGCCUCUGUGCGGCAAUUUAGGGAGAGCAUAGCCGGUCAUCAACUUCUUAUUGGGCAAAGACAACAACAGACAUGUCCAAGUUCAGCCUCAGGAACCACCUUGGAUGGCAGAAGCUGGCCCUCGAAGCUUCCCUAACAAAUAACAGCAAUUCUCAAGAGUCCUCAUGCACACAAGAUAAUGCUUUAGCAGUCAACAGGGGCUCUCAACUCUGGAAUAAAUGACGUCCACUUGGUCACUCUUCCUACAAACUAUACACUUCUUUGAAACAUACAGACACAUGCAUACUCUGAAGCAAGACUCAUGCUGGUAAAAAAAGAAAAAAAAAGGAGAAAGGGGCUUGAUAUUUAGGACAAAGGGGUGGGAGCUCCCUGUGAAUGACAUUACACAAGAGAAGGUAUGGAGGAGGAAAUGGGGCAGCAGAGAGCAAGGCAAUGACCGAGGCCAAGUGAAACAGGAACAUCAGCCAGGAAGCAUGUGGCUCGGUCUUGGAGACAUUUCCUUCAAGUUCCCUCUUGCCCGAAAGCCUAACCAGUGUUGGGAUGGCGAGUGCUGUCACCUCUGAGCAUAGGAGACAUGCAUUGUCCACACUGCUCCUUGGGCACAUGGCAUGGUUUUCUGGAAUCAUAAGCAUUUCUGUUCAACGGUCCUGACUCUUCAGUUAAAUGCAAAGGCAGACUUUUUCUUUCUUUUUAGGAAUGGUAUGUUCUUAGUUUAAGAAAAGGUUCUAGGGGUGCCUGGGUGGCUCAGUCGGUUGAGCAUCCAACUUCGGCUCAGGUCAUGAUCUCGCAGUCUGUGAGUUCGAGCCCCACGUCAGGCUCUGUGCUGACAGCUCAGAGCCUGGAGCCUGCUUCCGAUUCUGUCUCUCUCUCUCUCUCUCUUUCUGCUCCUCCCCCGCUCACACUGUCUCUCUCUCCUUCAAAAAUAAAUAAACAUUAAAAAAAAAAAGAACAGGUUCUAACUUGGGGCACCUGGGUAGCUUCAUUAGUUAAAUGGCCGACUCUUGAUUUUGGCUCAGGUCUUGAUCUCCCGGUUUGUGGGUUUGAGCCCCACAUUGGGGUCUGCACUGACAGCACGGAGCAUGUCUGGGAUUCUCUGCCCUGCUCUCUGCCCCUGCCCUGCUUUCUCAAUAAAUAAACUUUAAAAAAAAAAUUGGUUGUAAGCACAAGGGAAAUUAAUACAGGAAAGUUGAUGCUUAUGAAACAGUUGGAAAUACUGAAGGAACAGUCAUCUAGCCUGAGGCCUUCUGGAAUGCCCACCUGAAAACCAAAGAAUUGACUCGCACCCCCUCUUCCCCAGGAGCUACGGCCUCUACCCACAUUAGGAGGGUGAAGGAUCUGGAGGCUGCUGCUGGAACUACUGAGCCCAUGAAUACACUGCAGUUGCUGUACUCAGGCAGUGUGGAAGCUGGAAUCAGGAAACUUGACCAGCAGGCCAACAAAAGAUAGCCCAUGACCUCUGCCUACUUCUCUCUUCUGAGACUUGCACAAUCAGGAAGUUGCACAUCCACAAAUACAAAGGAGUCUGGGAAAUGGGUUUUAAGCUUUCCAGCCUCUGAAACACAGAAAGGCACCCCAGGAAGAGGUAGGAAUGGAUACUCAAUGCCAAUGGAUUUCCAACACAAGUGGUGAUUUUCACUGAGGUGUUACGCUUGCCCUGGCUCGGGAGCAAACUUGUGCUCCUUCCGUUCCCUCGCCCUCAAGAUCAAAUGCAAGGCUUACUCUCUCUCCACUACCUCCUGUGCCACCCCCUGCUCAAAGGCUGAUGAACAUUCAAGCAUGUUGCAAGGAGGGCUUAUGCAUAUGGAAUUGAGAGGACAGAAACCCAACAAUUUCUCAUGCCCGUCAGGCAAUGGAGAAAGACUGGUUGCUGUCAAGGGGAAGUCCUCACCAGACACCUGCCAGAAGGCAAGUGGCAUAGCUCCGUGGCAAAAAGUAUAGGGCUUAUUCAGAUUCAGUUCUGUCCUCAUGGUCCACCCCACCUCUCUCUCAUCACCUACCUCCCUUCCAUCUCCCUCAGUCUGGGGACUACUUUGCUAAUCUAGGUGAGGAGUUUUGCUUUUAUUCUUGAUGUUAUCUCCUACGUCUGCUGCCUGUCGGUGCACUUCAGUCCACCAAAGGCCAAGACCAAGAUGGUUUUCAAAGGUUGCCUGCACCCAGAUCACCUGAGGGCUUGUUAGGACACAGACUGCUGGGUCUGGGUGGGGCCCAAGAAUUUGCCUUUCUAACAAGGACACCCGGGUGACUCCGGGUGACUCCAAUGUUGCACUGGUAGAACCACUGGCUCGGGCUUUGAAAUUCCACCAUUCUGUACUUUCUGUUUUCAAUUCCCAUCCCUAAAGGCAAGAGGAAGGAAUGGCUGCACUCUUCAGAUCGGGGAGAUGGGGCAAUGGGAAUGAAAAAUUGGGGAGAGGAAAAAAUGUUUCCAAAGUCAAAACAUUGCCAUUGCUCAGUAAUAAUAAUAUAUAACUCCUUGGCUAUGCUUUUAAUGCUUGAAAGGGUGGUGCUUAAUUUAAAGGCAGACUUUGGGGCUGGGAAGGGUAGUAUAUCCUUUGUGCAAGAAAUAAAAUCCAGACAAGGUUUUAAGCACAAAAGAAAUUAAUAUAGGGAAAUUGGUGCUUCCGGAACAGUUGAGUCCUUUCUCCCUGGUUUUCCUCCUUCUUCCCUUCCUCUCCCUCACGGACCCGCCAGGCUCUCUUAACCACCCUGCUCAGCCCUCGGUCUUGCUUCUUUCCUCUCUGCUCCUGACAGUCAUUGGCUCGAUCCAGUCUUCUCCCAUGUGGAAGGGCCUAAGCUACUACUUCCAGACACAGUGCUGAGCAGUAUACACACAUCUCCUGUAGCCCUCCUGCCAAUCAGGCCAGAGGGGAUUUUAGUGCUCAGUUCACAGAUGAGGACAGGAGGACUCAGAGAGGUCACACCACUAGCAGUUGGGGAGUCUAGGACUGGAUCCCAGCUUUGUUUGGCUUCUGGUUCUGGGCCCUUCCCCCAUCUUCAUGAUCUGGUGUCAUUUUGCAUCCCAGACCGGGGGACAGAGACCUUUAGCAGGAGACCUGCAAUCACUGUGUGAGCACCGGUCCUGGUAGGUGUUAGUCUCUGGGCCAGAGCUUUAUGGGAUGUGUCACUCAUGGUGGGGAUAGCAGGACCAGUUUUCCGUCCAAGAGCCUCAUUCCCUGUACAUUUGUUCAUUUCUGGGACAUUCUUUUUGAAAAUGAACUUGGUGGGAACUUAGGUUUUAUUCCAAAAAAAAAAAAAAAAAAAUCCCACAAAAUUCCCAGCAAACCCCAAAUUGUGUAGAUUGGAGGGAGGAGGCAUGUUAUUUUUUGGCAGAAAAAGUCUGGCAAUAAACUUCUAAAAACAUAAUAAAAGUGA